CCUACGGGGUGCAGCAGUGGGGAAUAUUGGACAAUGGGCGAAAGCCUGAUCCAGCCAUGCCGCGUGUGUGAAGAAGGCCUUCGGGUUGUAAAGCACUUUCAGUGGGGAAGAAAGCCUUGGGGCUAAUACCCUCGAGGAAGGACAUCACCCACAGAAGAAGCACCGGCUAACUCCGUGCCAGCAGCCGCGGUAAUACGGAGGGUGCGAGCGUUAAUCGGAAUUACGGGGCGUAAAGCGCGCGUAGGCGGUCUGAUAAGCCGGUUGUGAAAGCCCCGGGCUCAACCUGGGAACGGCAUCCGGAACUGUCAGGCUAGGGUGCAGGAGAGGAAGGUAGAAUUCCCGGUGUAGCGGUGAAAUGCGUAGAGAUCGGGAGGAAUACCAGUGGCGAAGGCGGCCUUCUGGACUGACACUGACGCUGAGGUGCGAAAGCGUGGGUAGCAAACAGGAUUAGAUACCCUUGUAGUC
rnacentral:rRNA from 1 species